CAUACUAAAUGGAGUGGGCCGGAUUUUCAUACUGAAUAAUACGAAAUGCUCAGAGACCAGGUUGCACAUGCAGAAACACAUACCCUCUCUCUCUCUCGCUCACAUAUACACCUCUCACUCGCUCGGUUCUCCCUUGCUCUCUCUCUCUCUGAACAUACACCCUCCCCCUCUCUCCCUCCCAGUCUAACCAGAGACCAGCAUGAUCCAGGGCAUGGGUUGUAGCAGGAUGCUGUGCAGCGUGACUCCUUCCUUCAGGAUGAUGAUGAAGACCUGUGUUCACCACUAUAGUGUACAGCAGCCCCGUCCACAUGAACAGCAGACAGCUGAGGAAGUAGUGGUAGUUACGGAAGCCCACACACUGGCCGAAGAACACACACCUUACUACAUGUGUAGCUGUACCUGUGGGUCAAGUAGAGGUGUGUUACGAUGUAAUAACUGCAGAUAACAGAUUACCUCCAGCCUUGCGCGAUACCUUCUAAGCCAAGAAACACACCUUUGAUGCUGGGCCUGAUUUUCACAAACAACGAGGCGUUCCAUGUGAUAUUUCCCAACAUGAAGUACUGCGCGAGGAGGUGCAGUCUUCCACACAGUAGACCACUGGGUCUUGUUCUGGUCCAGUUGGAGCGGCGCCUCGACCAGGUAACUCACCUCCUCGGUGAUGGAGAACACGAGCACGGUGUUCAGAACGAUGGGCAGGUAGCGUCACGUCUUCUCCACGCAAUCCCACAACCGACCAUCGAAGCUUAACCAUGUCAUGGUGCCUUCUCAGUCUUGUGUCCUCUAUGCUUCCUUGUUUCCGCCGCACUGAUGUGAUUUUAUUUAACAGGAUUAUAGUUGACAGGUGAAAGAAGGGGGACGUUUUUCACAGAUUUACACGUAUCAUGUUUGAGAUCUGAUGUUAGCGAUUGAGUGAUUACGGACAAUUCUUACUCCUUUUACCAACAUGUAAACUGACUAUAACAUGUCUGUUGUCAGUAAGAAAGAUCGGUGUGUGGACAAGUGUUGAUGCCCCUUCAUUUCAAAGGAAGUGGAGCUGUCAGCGUAGUGUUACAUGCCAGUGUUACAUGAAAAUAGGUCCCCCAUAUCUAUACGUAUCGCGUAUAGAUAUACAACAAAGUUGUAUUCCUCCGAUUAUAAUUAGUCCUGUGCAUUUGCAUUAAGAUAAACUCUCCUAAAUAUGAAAGUUAAUUAUUGACUAUUAGAUAUUCAAAUUACAUUACUUUAAUUUUAUAGAGGUUAUUCAUUAGUGUAACGUUAUUUCUUUCAUAUAUUUUCUUACGCAUAGAUGGUGAUGACAGCAAAGAUAGGUUUCCUCAAUUCAUCUGUGACGACAAUGAGGUCCAUAUGCCCCCUGUUCCUCCCCUUAAAAGAGAGCAAUACAACCAACCCUUAAUCCAUGUUAGUCCCAGGCUGUGUUUGUGAGCCUUUAAUUUCAAAAAUUAUGUGGUCCCUGUCAUGCCCAUAGUUAAAGAGAAAUUAUGUCUACCUGGUAUAUGGACGGUGUCGGGGAGAACCGAGGUGGUUAUAGAAAACAGGGACCAAAACUUCUGAUACAGAGGACAGGCUACCAGAAACAGGACAGUGUCUGUCCACCACUAUGGUAUUAUGGAAUAAUCCAUGUCAGGAAGCACUGGAAAUAAAAUAAAUCAGAGCAUGUUCAAUAGCUCUGUUCUGUCGUGUCCUCCUCCCCACCGUGAGCACGGGAGGAUGAAGCUGCAGAGUAACCUUGUGGAGAGAGAAGAGCAGCGAUCUGGCACAUGAGCUGGACAUCAAACCAGUGCAUCUGUCAAGUGGACAUGGACCGAGCAGCAGAACCUG